UACGGAGAUGGCGAGCGUUGUUCGGAAUCACUGGGCGUAAAGGGCACGUAGGCGGCCGUAUAAGUUGGAUGUGGAAUCCUUCGGCUCAACUGGAGAACUGCAUCCAAUACUGUGCGGCUAGAGCACGGCAGAGGGGAGCGGAACUCCUGGUGGAGCGGUGAAAUGCGUAGAUAUCAGGAGGAACGCCGGCGGCGAAAGCGACUCCCUGGGCCGUUGCUGACGCUGAGGUGCGAAAGCUAGGGGAGCAAACGGGAUUAGAUACCCCAGUA
rnacentral:rRNA from 1 species